GACGAACGCUGGCGGCGUGCUUAACACAUGCAAGUCGAACGGAAAGGCCCUGCUUUUGUGGGGUGCUCGAGUGGCGAACGGGUGAGUAACACGUGAGUAACCUGCCCUUGACUUUGGGAUAACUUCAGGAAACUGGGGCUAAUACCGGAUAGGAGCUCCUGCUGCAUGGUGGGGGUUGGAAAGUUUCGGCGGUUGGGGAUGGACUCGCGGCUUAUCAGCUUGUUGGUGGGGUAGUGGCUUACCAAGGCUUUGACGGGUAGCCGGCCUGAGAGGGUGACCGGCCACAUUGGGACUGAGAUACGGCCCAGACUCCUACGGGAGGCAGCAGUGGGGAAUAUUGCACAAUGGGCGGAAGCCUGAUGCAGCAACGCCGCGUGCGGGAGGACGGCCUCGGGUUGUAAACCGCUUUCGCCUGUGACGAAGCGUGAGUGACGGUAAUGGGUAAAGAAGCACCGGCUAACUACGUG
rnacentral:rRNA from 1 species